CGGGGCGUAGCGUAGCCCGGUAGCGCGCCUGCUUCGGGAGCAGGAGGUCGCUGGUUCAAAUCCAGUCGCCCCGA
rnacentral:tRNA from 5 species